CAUCGAGACUCCUACGGGAGGCAGCAGUGGGGAAUAUUGCACAAUGGGGGAAACCCUGAUGCAGCCAUGCCGCGUGUGUGAAGAAGGCCUUCGGGUUGUAAAGCACUUUCAGUAGGGAGGAAGGUAGUGUAGUUAACACCUGCAUUAUUUGACGUUACCUACAGAAGAAGCACCGGCUAACUCCGUGCCAGCAGCCGCGGUAAUACGGAGGGUGCGAGCGUUAAUCGGAAUUACUGGGCGUAAAGCGCAUGCAGGCGGCCUGUUAAGUCAGAUGUGAAAGCCCGGGGCUUAACCUCGGAAUUGCAUUUGAAACUGGCAGGCUAGAGUCUUGUAGAGGGGGUAGAAUUUCAGGUGUAGCGGUGAAAAUGCGUAGAGAUCUGAAGGAAUACCAGUGGCGAAGGCGGCCCCCUGGACAAAGACUGACGCUCAGAUGCGAAAGCGUGGGGAGCAAACAGGAUUAGAUACCCUGGUAG
rnacentral:rRNA from 1 species